CAUAAUUGAGUCGUUUAUAGGUGAGUCCUGAAGCAAAGAAGAAAGCUGCAGAUGCAAAGGCUAAGGGAGACGAGGCAUUUGACAGGAAGGAUUUUGCUGCGGCUAGAGAUGCUUAUACGCUAGUACCUAUUGGGCUUAUUGAAUUCUUCCUGUAUACCCAACACUAACCCUUCCCCAGUAAAAUACCUGCAAAAGGGAAAAAGAAAGAAGAUAAUGAUGAGAUGAAGUAGUCAUCCUCUUCAUGUUGCAAGUAAUUAAUAAUGUGUAUGCAUUACUUACUGAGCUCACUUGUGUUUGCUGAUACUCUGCAGGCAAUCAGUUCUGAUCCAACUGAUGGCACUCUGUUUUCCAAUAGAAGUGAUUGUUGGUUCCACCUGGGGCAAGGUGAAUCUGCCUUAACUGAUGCCAAGGCCUGCAAAAAACUUGGACAAGAUUUGGCAAAGGCUUAUUAUCGGGAAGGUGCAGCUAUACGUCUAUUGCAGGCAUGCUCCCCCUUCCUCUCCUGGAAUCAAAUUUUGCCAACUUAUAUACCUAUAUGUUCUGAUAUUCUAAUAUUUCCUUCUCAGAGGUUUGAAGAGGCAGCCAAUGCUUUCUAUAGGGGCAUCCAGAUCGACCCUAAUGAUGAGCUCAUAACUGCUUUACAGUAUGCUUGUUGAGACUUGGAAGUUGUUUGUUUAGCAACUGCAGAUGAUAUAUUUCUCUAGCAUCGAAGAACCGUACUCUAAUGCAGUAGUUUCUAUAUGAUUGCAGGGGUACUGUUGCUGAAAGGGAUGCUGAGGCUGCUAAAGAAAUUCAUGACAUGGAACUAGAAUUAAGUUGUGUCAUACAAGAGUUAGAAAGCACAUAAUGACAGAACCAAGUAGCCACUUCUUUUGCCCUUUUCUUUGGUAGUUGUAAAAAUGGAUCAUUUUGAUGUUUUGUUCUCUAGUGAUUUGUUCUGCUGCAAUUUAUAGACUCACUAUUUUUGUUAAUCUCAACUUUUCCCUUUUGCCUAAUUUUUCAAAAUUUAUUUUCAUUCCUGUUUAUUUUUUCCAAGUGGUGGACCAUACUUGGGGUACAGAACUUCUAAAAAAAUAUCUGUAAAAUAUUUAAGAUGUAACUGACCAAACUAAAUGUAGUAUUGUCGUGGAUAAAAUUAUGUCAUUUUGAUAUCAAAAAUCAAAAUUAUGUACACUCUAAACAGAAAGGUAAAGAUGAGCAAAAUAAUAUAGCACAACUAUUCAAUACAAAAGAUUAUUAUUGCAACAAGUGAAAACAUUUAUGCAGGUAAAAAUUAAAUGUAAAAAUACAGCCACAGGAGCUAUAACGACAGUUAAAAUAGUCUUGGAAUACAGCAACGUAAUGUCAGGGGGAUUAUAUUUCACUUGGACACUAACACUUUCCAGAAGCUUGACACAAACGGAGCAGGAUUUCAACAAGGUUACCUUAAUGUCAAGUAGCAGAUUGUUGAUUGUUAUGACAAUGUGAAUAUUCCUCUGCUAUCUGCAGUCGAACAAAAUACUGGCAACCUGUACAGUAUGACAUCUGAUUGUGCAAAACUAAAGAUCACUGGAAGAUUUGCACUCAGCAGAGAGUAUGAUACAUGCUUGAACGUAAAAACGAUAGCUACUGUAACUGCGAAAAGUUUAGAUGUACAGAGUGAUGACUUGAUAAUUCGAUAAAUACAAGACUCACCUAUUUAUCGAUGUCAAAUACAAAUUUAAUACUUGUCAAACGUGAGAUAAUAUAUAACUUAAGACUUCAAU
rnacentral:lncRNA from 1 species